rnacentral:tRNA from 1 species
UCCCUGUAGCUCAGAUGGUAAAGAAUCUGCCUGCAAUGCAGGAGACCCAGGUUCGAUCCCUGGGUCGGGAA